AUUGAACGCUGGCGGCAUGCCUUACACAUGCAAGUCGAACGGUAACAGGUCUUCGGAUGCUGACGAGUGGCGAACGGGUGAGUAAUACAUCGGAACGUACCCGAUCGUGGGGGAUAACGAAGCGAAAGCUUUGCUAAUACCGCAUAAGAUCUACGGAUGAAAGCAGGGGACCGCAAGGCCUUGCGCGAACGGAGCGGCCGAUGGCAGAUUAGGUAGUUGGUGGGAUAAAAGCUUACCAAGCCGACGAUCUGUAGCUGGUCUGAGAGGACGACCAGCCACACUGGGACUGAGACACGGCCCAGACUCCUACGGGAGGCAGCAGUGGGGAAUUUUGGACAAUGGGCGAAAGCCUGAUCCAGCCAUGCCGCGUGCAGGAUGAAGGCCUUCGGGUUGUAAACUGCUUUUGUACGGAACGAAAAGACUCUUUCUAAUAAAGAGGGUCCAUGACGGUACCGUAAGAAUAAGCACCGGCUAACUACGUGCCAGCAGCCGCUGUAA
rnacentral:rRNA from 1 species